UACGUAGGGCGCAAGCGUUGUCCGGAAUUAUUGGGCGUAAAGAGCUCGUAGGCGGCUUGUCACGUCGGGUGUGAAAGCCCGGGGCUUAACCCCGGGUCUGCAUCCGAUACGGGCAGGCUAGAGUGUGGUAGGGGAGAUCGGAAUUCCCGGUGUAGCGGUGAAAUGCGCAGAUAUCAGGAGGAACACCGGUGGCGAAGGCGGAUCUCUGGGCCAUUACUGACGCUGAGGAGCGAAAGCGUGGGGAGCGAACAGG
rnacentral:rRNA from 1 species